CAACCUGCCGUCUACUCUUGGACAGCCUUCUGAAAGGAAGAUUAAUACAAGAUGGCAUCAUGAGUCCGCAUGUUCACAUGAUUAAAGGUAUUCCGGUAGACGAUGGGGAUGCGUUCCAUUAGAUAGUAGGCGGGGUAACGGCCCACCUAGUCUUCGAUGGAUAGGGGUUCUGAGAGGAAGGUCCCCCACAUUGGAACUGAGACACGGUCCAAACUCCUACGGGAGGCAGCAGUGAGGAAUAUUGGUCAAUGGGCGAGAGCCUGAACCAGCCAAGUAGCGUGAAGGAUGACUGCCCUAUGGGUUGUAAACUUCUUUAUAAAGGAAUAAAGUCGGGUAUGGAUACCCGUUUGCAUGUACUUUAUGAAUAAGGAUCGGCUAACUCCGUGCCAGCAGCCGCGGUAUACGGAGGAUCCGAGCGUUAUCCGGAUUUAUUGGGUUUAAAGGGAGCGUAGAUGGAUGUUUAAGUCAGUUGUGAAAGUUUGCGGCUCAACCGUAAAAUUGCAGUUGAUACUGGAUAUCUUGAGUGCAGUUGAGGCAGGCGGAAUUCGUGGUGUAGCGGUGAAAUGCUUAGAUAUCACGAAGAACUCCGAUUG
rnacentral:rRNA from 1 species